UUUAAGUUCUAUUUUUCUCCUCCUGUCUGCUUUCUUCACUGGUCAACACUCUCCAGUCCAUCUAUUUAGGACAGUUUCCUCUGGGAUGGCACUUGAAGCUUAUAGAAGACAGAAAAGAAACAGAUCAGAUUUGAACCUCACAAAUAUGAUAUUUGUGGUUGUGUCUUCUCCUUCUAAUCCAUACUUUCCGGAUGUCUUGUGGCAUAUUUAAGAAACAUUUGCAGAUGUGUUGGAUCACAGACCAAUGGAACAGAAGGGAGACUAGAAAUAGACCCAUGCAAGUCAGUGGAGAAAGGAUGGAUUAUUUUCAUAAAUGCUGCUGGAAAUAAAUUUGAAUGGAAAAAAUGAAACUGGAUCACCACACCAUGCACAAAAAUUAAUUAUGGCUCAAUUAAAGACUUACGUGAUAAAUGCAAAGCUAUAAAACACAGAGUACAAUGCAGAAAGAUCAAUAUAUGACUUUGGAAUGGAAAGAUUUCUUAAAUAAGAUGCAAAAACUGUUAAUUAUAUAGAAAAAAAUGAUAAAUUUGACCACAUUAAAAUUAGGAAUUUCUGUGCCUGGGAUUUGUUUGUGUUUUCUUUGAAUCCCCUGUAGCACCAAGGACAGUGCCUGCACACACUAGAAAUGUCUCUACUAUGUUCCAAGGCUGGCUUCUCCAGCAUGCCAGAUUCCAUUUUCUAAGUUUC
rnacentral:lncRNA from 10 species